GCGUGCGUAGCUCAGUUGGCUAGAGCAACUGACUCUUAAUCAGUGGGUCCAGGGUUCGAAUCCCUGCGCGCGUACCA
rnacentral:tRNA from 1 species